rnacentral:rRNA from 1 species
AACGAACGCUGGCGGCAUGCCUAACACAUGCAAGUCGAACGAGACCUUCGGGUCUAGUGGCGCACGGGUGCGUAACGCGUGGGAACCUGCCCUUAGGUUCGGAAUAACUCCCCGAAAGGGGUACUAAUACCGGAUAAUGUCUUCGGACCAAAGAUUUAUCGCCUUUGGAUGGGCCCGCGUUGGAUUAGCUAGUUGGUAGGGUAAAAGCCUACCAAGGCGACGAUCCAUAGCUGGUCUGAGAGGAUGAUCAGCCACACUGGCACUGAGACACGGCCCAGACUCCUACGGAAGGCAGCAGUGGGGAAUAUUGGACAAUGGGCGAAAGCCUGAUCCAGCAAUGCCGCGUGAGUGAUGAAGGCCGUAGGGUUGUAAAGCUCUUUUACCCGGGAUGAUAAUGACAGUACCGGGAGAAUAAGCACCGGCUAACUCCGUG